rnacentral:rRNA from 1 species
AGAAUCAACGCUGGCGGCGUGCCUAACACAUGCAAGUCGAACGAGAAAGUGGAGCAAUCCAUGAGUAAAGUGGCGCACGGGUGAGUAACACGUGACUAACCUACCCUUGAGUGGGGAAUAACUGAGGGAAACCUUAGCUAAUACCGCAUAAUACCUACGGGUCAAAGGAGCAAUUCGCUUAAGGAGGGGGUCGCGGCAGAUUAGCUAGUUGGCGGGGUAAUGGCCCACAAGGCAGUGAUCUGUA